rnacentral:rRNA from 1 species
AUUGAACGCUGGCGGCAGGCCUAACACAUGCAAGUCGAACGAGUGGAGGACGGGUGAGUAAUGUCUGGGAAACCGCCCGAGGGAGGGGGAUAACCAAUGGAAACGGUAGCUAAUACCGUAUUCUAUCGUAUGCGCCCAGAGGGGAGUAGAUAGUAGGUGGGGAAACGGCUCACCUAGGCGACGAUCCCUAGCUGGUCUGAGAGGAUGACCAGCCACACUGGAACUGAGACACGGUCCAGACUCCUACGGGAGACAGCAGUGGGGAAUAUUGCACAAUGGGCGCAAGCCUGAUGCAGCCAUGUCGCGUGUAUGAAGAAGGCCUUCGGGUUGUAAAGUACUUUCAGCGAGGAGGCGUUACUCGCAGAAGAAGCACCGGCUAACUCCGUGCCAGCCGCCGCGGUAAUAC